GUUGGUUAGAGCGCGCGCUUGAUAAGCGUGAGGUCGGAAGUUCAAGUCUUCCCAGGCCCACCAUUUUGAUCGAGUGCGGAGCAUUCGUCUUCUGGUACGGGGCCAUAGCUCAGCUGGGAGAGCGCGUGCUUUGCAAGCAUGAGGUCGUCGGUUCGAUCCCGUCUGGCUCCACCAGAUGGAAUUGAAGCUCGAUAGCGCCUCGUUCAUUUCGUCCGCGAAACAUCACUUCGCACUCAUUGGUCCGGAUGGACGGUGACGUGCGUGUUUUCUGACAUCGUAAAGAGGAGAUCGAUCCGAGUUUGGAUCAAGCGAAGCAAAUUCGCCUGAGCCAUUCAUUAUCUCCGGGAUCAUUUCGGCGCUCGCUUUCAAUCGCAAGAUUGGAUGCGGGUUGUAAAUGAUCCCUUUUAGCGAAGCUUGACCGCCUCGCUAUCGGGCCGAUCUUACGAAGCAAGCUGGUCUUUCUAGUCAAUGUCCGGCUGCGCAAUCGCAUUCAUCGAGGAUGCGUGCCUGAGACUUCGGUCUUCGGGCAGUUGUGCAGACAACAUUCUGCCGAGUGUGUGGACAUUGAUAAUGAGAGCAAUCAAGUGCCUUAAGGGUGUUCGGUGGAUGCCUUGGCGCUGAGAGGCGAUGAAGGACGUGCUACGCUGCGAUAA
rnacentral:misc_RNA from 1 species